GCGGGAAUUCGAUUAGAGUUUGAUUAUGGCUCAGAACGAACGUUAGCGGCGCGCCUAACACAUGCAAGUCGAACGAGAAAGGGCUUCGGCCCCGGUACAGUGGCGCACGGGUGAGUAACACGUAGGUAAUCUUCCCUCGGGUGGCGGAUAACCCCUCGAAAGGGGGGCUAAUACGGCAUAAGACCACGCCGCCGCAAGGUGGUGAGGUCAAAGCGGGCCUCUGCACGCAAGCUCGCGCCUGAGGAUGAGCCUGCGGCCCAUCAGCUAGUUGGUAGGGUAACGGCUUACCAAGGCAUAGACGGGUAGCUGGUCUGAGAGGAUGAUCAGCCACACUGGAACUGAGACACGGUCCAGACUCCUACGGGAGGCAGCAGUGGGGAAUUUUGCGCAAUGGACGAAAGUCUGACGCAGCGACGCCGCGUGGGUGAUGAAGGCCUUCGGGUUGUAAAGCCCUGUGGGGAGGGAAGAAUAAAGGACGGCGAAUACCCGUCCUGAUGACGGUACCUCCUUAGCAAGCACCGGCUAACUCUGUGCCAGCAGCCGCGGUAAGACAGAGGGUGCAAACGUUGUUCGGAAUUACUGGGCGUAAAGCGCGUGUAGGCGGCUACGCAAGUCGGGUGUGNNNGNCCUCGGCUCAACUGGGGAAGUGCACUCGAAACUGCGCAGCUUGAGUCCC
rnacentral:rRNA from 1 species